UACGUAGGGUGCGAGCGUUGUCCGGAAUUACUGGGCGUAAAGAGCUUGUAGGUGGUUUGUCGCGUUGUUCGUGAAAUCUCACGGCUCAACUGUGAGCGUGCGGGCGAUACGGGCAGACUAGAGUACUGCAGGGGGAGACUGGAAUUCCUGGUGUAGCGGUGGAAUGCGCAGAUAUCAGGAGGAACACCGGUGGCGAAGGCGGGUCUCUGGGCAGUAACUGACGCUGGAGAAGCGAAAGCGUGGGGAGCGAACAGG
rnacentral:rRNA from 1 species